rnacentral:rRNA from 1 species
UGCAAGUCGAGCGAACCUGUUGGAGCUUGCUCUUAAGAAGUUAGCGGCGGACGGGUGAGUAACACGUGGGUAACCUGCCUAUAAGACUGGGAUAACUCCGGGAAACCGGGGCUAAUACCGGAUAACAUUUUGCACCGCAUGGUGCGAAAUUGAAAGGCGGCUUCGGCUGUCACUUAUAGAUGGACCUGCGGCGCAUUAUCUAGUUGGUGAGGUAACGGCUCACCAAGGCGACAAUGCGUAGCCGACCUGAGAGGGUGAUCGGCCACACUGGGACUGAGACACGGCCCAGACUCCUACGGGAGGCAGCAGUAGGGAAUCUUCCGCAAUGGACGAAAGUCUGACGGAGCAACGCCCCGUGAACGAUGAAAGCUUUCGGGUCGUAAAGUUCUGUUGUUAGGGGAGAACAAGUGCUAGUUGAAUAAGCUGGCACCAUGACGGUACCUAACCAGAAAGCCACGGCUAACUACGUGCCAGCAGCCGCGGUAAUACGUAGGUGGCAAGCGUUAUCCGGAAUUAUUGGGCGUAAAGCGCGCGCAGGUGGUUUCUUAAGUCUGAUGUGAAAGCCCACGGCUCAACCGUGGAGGGUCAUUGGAAACUGGGAGACUUGAGUGCAGAAGAGGAAAGUGGAAUUCCAUGUGUAGCGGUGAAAUGCGUAGAGAUAUGGAGGAACACCAGUGGCGAAAGCGACUUUCUGGUCUGGAACUGACACUGAGGCGCGAAAGCGUGGGGGAGCAAACAGGAUUAGAUACCCUGGGUAGUCCACGCCGUAAACGAUGAGUGCUAAGUGUUAGAGGGUUUCCGCCCUUUAGUGCUGAAGUAACGCAUUAAGCACUCCGCCUGGGGAGUACGGCCGCAAGGCUGAAACUCAAGGAAUUGACGGGGCCCGCACAAGCCGUUGAGCAUGUGUUUAUUUCAAGCAACGCGAAGAACCUUACGAGGUCUGACAUCCCUCUGACAACCUUAGAGAUUGGCUUUCCCCUCCGGGGCAAAUGAACAGGGUGUGCAUGGUUUCCUUCACCUCGUUCAUGAAUGUUGGUUAAAGUCCCGCCACGACCCAACCUGGAUCUUAGAUUGCCAUCUAUUAUGUUGG